UGUACCGCAUCAUGUCCCAACACGUGAGGAUGUUUCCCCCGUUGAUCUCGGGAUAUUCGACAAGCUCCGAGUAGCCUUGGUAUGGUGCCGAACCUGUAUGCGACGCUGGCCCAUUCGGAACAUGCACUCGCUAACUACCUGGCAUUCCAGAACGCUUGAAGUUCCAUCGUCGGCAAGGCUCGCGAAGUUGUGAACCUCGUUGUCAGUCAGGUCGAUGCUUGUGAGGUUGCCUCGCGGCUCUACGGUUAUCGGUGAAUGAACGGGUUGACGGAUGAACAGAUCCUCGAAAUCCGCGCCGGGACUUUGGCUUCGACGCAAAGCUGGAUGCUUUGUGUCGGCUGACACGCAACAUCGUCUUGCACACGGCCUGGAUUCAGCUAGUUCUUCUAGUCUACUUCCAUUGAACGGGUCAACAUCAGUUUUGUCCGGUGGAUAAAGAUAGUAGAAAUGUAGCUCCCUCGGGAGUGUUAUAGACUAUUAUUGCAUACACUGGGUGAGACUGAGGACUGCAGCUCGCCUUUUGGCCGGUCUUCGGACACGUUCGAGCUUAGGAUGUUGACAUAAUGGCUUUAAACGACCCGUCUUGAAACACGGCCA
rnacentral:rRNA from 1 species